UCUGUGGCGCAAUUGGCUAGCGCGUCUGACUGUUAAUCAGGAGGUUGGUGGUUCGAGCCCACCCGGAGGAG
rnacentral:tRNA from 1 species